rnacentral:rRNA from 1 species
AGACCGUUCUCUUCAGAGGCCGGUCAUUGGAAUGGGUACAAUUUAAACCCUUUAACGAGUAUCUAUGAGAGGGCAAGUCUGGUGCCAGCAGCCGCGGUAAUUCCAGCUCUCAAAAUGCAUAGAAUCAUUGCUGCGGUUAAAAAGCUCGUAGUUGGAUCUGUGCUGGCGGGUCGGUCCACCUUCGGGUGCGCACUGAUUUCGCCGGCUUUCCUGCUGUAUUUGGCCCUGUGCCUUUCAACGGGUGCAGUGUCCAGUGCAGCAAGUUUACCUUGAACAAAUCAGAGUGCUUCAAACAGGCGUUUCGCUUGAAUGUUCGUGCAUGGAAUAAUAGAAGAGGAUUUCGGUUCUAUUUUAUUGGUUUUAUAGACUGAGAUAAUGGUUAACAGAGACUAACGGGGGCAUUAGUAUUGCUACGUGAGAGGUGAAAUUCUUGGACCGUAGCAAGACUGACUACAGCGAAAGCAUUUGCCAAGAAAGUCUUCAUUAAUCAAGAACGAAAGUCAGAGGUUCGAAGGCGAUCAGAUACCGCCCUAGUUCUGACCGUAAACGAUGCCAACUAGUGAUCCGCCGGUGGAACAUUCGCCCUGGUGGGGAACUUCCCGGAAACGAAAGUCUUCCGGUUCCGGGGGAAGUAUGGUUGCAAAGCUGAAACUUAAAGGAAUUGACGGAAGGGCACCACCAGGAGUGGAGCCUGCGGCUUAAUUUGACCCAACACGGGAAAACUCACCCGGCCCGGGCACCGUAAGGAUUGACAGAUUGAUAGCUCUUUCAUGAUUCGGUGGAUGGUGGUGCAUGGCCGUUCUUAGUUCGUGGAGCGAUUUGUCUGGUUUAUUCCGAUAACGAGCGAGACUCUGGCCUACUAAAUAGUUUACACAUUGCUUCUGUGUGCAUAACUUCUUAGAGGGAUUUUCGGUGUUCAGCCGCAAGAAAUUGAGCAAUAACAGGUCUGUGAUGCCCUUAGAUGUCCGGGGCUGCACGCGCGCUACACUGGCAAAAUCAGCGUGCUUGUCCUUCCCCGAAAGGGGUUGGUAAACUCGUGAAAAUUUGCCGUGAUUGGGAUCGGAAAUUGCAAUUAUUUUCCGUGAACGAGGAAUUCCAAGUAAGUGCGAGUCAUCAACUCGCGUUGAUUACGUCCCUGCCCUUUGUACACACCGCCCGUCGCUGCCCGGGACUGAGCCGUUUCGAGAAACUUGGAGACCGCUGAUCUGGUAACUUCGAUUGCCAUUUUGGUGGGAACCAAUUUAA